ensembl:lncRNA
GCUUCAUAGGAGCAGAGGGGGUUGGUUUGCAAUCCUGGAGUGGAUUGGGGCUAGAGGUCUGGAAGCCGGGACUUUCUCCGUGGCCGGUGGCUGUGAGAGAUGCAUAUUGCGUCGUUCUUUCUAUUUUUUUGUGACAGAGCAGAGCAGAGGCUUUUUUUUGGUUCAAACGGGAGUCAGGGGCAAGGCCGAGCAGAGAAGCAGAGCAGCUGUCAGGAGAAUUCAGGCUGGAGCAGGCUCAGGGCCCAGGGAGAGGGGGGACACAGCGAAACGGGACAUCUGCUGGCCAGCCACGGCCCCGCGUCGCCCUCCCGGGCCCAGUUGCUUAGGAGAAGGAAGGAAACCAGCCUUUUCCCACUGCCAUUGUGUCCCUGACAGGCUUUGUAAACAGAGAGGGAGAAGAAGAAAAAAAGAGCCAAAAGGAAAAAAUAAAUUCUGGAAUCAGACGAUACACUCAGUUAUUCAUUCAGCAACAUCGAGUGAGGCCUGCUGUGUGCCAAGAACAAUGGGGUACGAAAAAAAGAGUGAGUCGGUCUCCACUCACUUACGUAUUUAUCUACUCACUUCAUAAUAAGGCUAGAGCUCCCGCCAGGUUCCAGGCAUUGUGGUUGUGGCGAUGCCUGGGUGGCUUGGGCCCUGCCUGCUGGGGGACGGAGCCAGAGGCCCAGCAGCUGAAACCCAGCAGCUGAUGUGGUCGUGGUGAAGAUGACAGCGAGCCAAAGCAUGUGGAGUGCUGCGACGCCCCUGCCGGCAGUAGGUGCUGUGGAUUGUUGCUAUGAUUGGGGUGGGGGCGGACAGGAAGCCUGCAGAGGGGAGCAAUCCGUCACCUGUAGGAGCUCCGACUGUGGACAGGCGCCAGCAAACUGAGCAGAGGCGGAAAGACCGGGCUCCUGCCUGCGGGGAGCCAACAGCAUCCAGUUGUUGCUAAGAACUUGGAAUCCGAGAGACCUGGGUUCCAAUCUCAUCUCAUCUGUGUGACCUUGGACAAGUUAUUUGUCCUCGUUGAGCUCCACUGUUCUCAUCUAUAAAAUGGGCGUAAAGACAGCACAUUCGUUUCAGGGACGCGGGAGGCCUGACUGAGAUGAUCCUUGUAAAUAGCCGAGAAGACACAGCGCUGGAAAAGAGGUAGCUGUUAAGACCGUUGGUAAAAAGCGAAAGAGGGGGAGACUUUUAUAACAAGCAGGAGGAGGAUGUCCUCGGACCCUCUGGCUCACCUCUCGGUGGCUUCCCAUUGCUCUAGAAUGAAGAUGUACUUAGUCCCCUGGCUCUCCUUGACUCCAUCUGUCCUGUUGUGAAUGGACAGUGACGAGUUUGACCCCCUGGGUGUGGAGUCAGACCACCUGCGUUUGCACCUGCUGCCGACAGACCUGCUCCUCACCUCUCUGAAUCCCAGUGUUUUCGUCUGUCACGGGGAGCAGGACUCGUUCCCAGCUUGCAGGACUAGAAAUGGCCUGGACAGCUGACUCGUCUGGGGUGGAGUCUGAGCGUACCCUGAAGCAUCCUUGUACAUUUGAAGCUGUUUCCUGGAUGAUUCUCUCUCACCAUGGCAUGUGAGAGAACUUAAGCUUUAAGAGGUUGCGCAAUUCGCUCAAAUUUGUCCAGCUCAAAGUGCAAUCGUGAAGCCUGAAGAUAUUGGAUGCCUUGGAAGAGGAAUACAGCCUUGGAGGAACAGCCUGGGGAUGGCGUACUAUGACCUUUCACUCCUUCCUAAGCCAAGAAAAGAAAGUGGGUCCAACCGGCUGUUAGAAAACCUUCCCCAAAGGUUUGGAUAAACUGAGUGGUUUCAGGCGCCCUGUGACCCUGCAGGCAGGCUGCAAUGUGGCUGUCCCCGCCAUGGGGAGAGAGUCUUGUUUUCCUCCCCAGCAGAGCUGGGCUGGGGUUUCUGAUAGUGUUUGACUUAGCAAGUCUCCGCAUGAGCCGCUGAUCUGGUGUUGGAACAAAGCAGCAGGGAGGGAGGCCCCGCGUGGAUGAGUCAGGCGGAGACGAGGCCUCGUUUCUUGUUGAACGCUGUCCCCCUCCAGCUAUGUGCUUUUCCCCAACAGCCAAGCUUGGUCCGCACAAGUCUGGGCUGCCCUCUCCCCACCAAGGCAAACCCUGUCAAUAGCAGGAGAGAAAAAAAGGCCACGACUACAUGUGAGAAGCUGUGCUUUCAGGGGAGGAUCAAGAGCCCUUCACCUCGCCCAACACUGUUUGCAUUUUGUAGAACAAACACUGGAGUUUAAGUUACAUCCUCGAAUUCAAUAUUUGGCAUGGGAUAAUAAUCGCUGGUGACUUCUCCACGUGGUGCCAGCUGGGCCGGGUACCAGGUGAGCAAGACAGGGCCGUUCCCUGUUUUCAAGGAGUUACAGCCUGUGGGGGACACAGAACAGUACCCAAGCGCUUGGAGUCGAGGAUGGUCAUUGUUACGAGAUGAAGGCUAACACCCAUCCUGACAGUUUUGAAGCUGGUGCUUUUCAUGUUUGCAGACAUAGGCAGGAGCAAUCAACUAACGACUGUCGCCUGCUCUACAGUGAUUUUCAGAUGAGUCCCAAUCUCAGGAUGUUUGUGCCCAUGAUCUCAUUUGAUCCUCUGAGUCAAGUCAUGUUCUCCUGGAAGCAGAUGCUAAGAUGAAAUGAAAAGUGCAAGCGAUCUACUGAGGGACACGCCUGUGAGAAGUAGAGAGGAGAGGGGACAGGAGCAGGCAGGGAGAGCUCCAGGACAACGCAGGUGUGACAGCCACAGGAGGACAAGAGGAGGCAGGAGACAGCAAUUUGGGAACAUUUAUAACCAGUGUCUUCCUGGCCACAUCGUAGUAUGACCUUUGGAAAUGCCACUUUCUCGAAUAAUAAAAUGAAGGGAAAAAUUUCCUCUCUUCUACCUACCAAAUGGGACAUUUGGAUAAUUUUCAAGAGAAAAAGAUCUGCUCCCAAAAGUGACACUUUGCUUGUUUAUUCAGCAACUAUUCAUUGAGUAUCUCUUGGAUCCUGGGUGUGCUGUGUAUUGUGAAUAUAGCAAUGCUCAGGGAGAAAAACCCUGGCUAGUUAAUUAUGCAGAAACCCUUCUAUUACAAUUACGUAAAUGCGUUCAAGGAAACGCUCAGUUUAUAAGAAGAGUGUGUGCUGGGCAAGUGGCUGUGGAAGAAGUAUGACAUCCUGGGGCUGACGGAUAGUAAGAAGACCCUCUCUGGGACGCCGCUUAUUGCUGCUGGUGCACCAAAGGAGAAGAGAGAGCAAUCUUUGAGCGAGAAGAGAGAAGCAAGCGCAGACAACAUGUGGCUGUUAAGAGCCCAGAGACCUUUUCGUCAGGACGCAGUGCUUCCUUCGGACCACGUGGUCAGAACACCGUUUCUUAAAGUGUGGUCCGUGUACCAUCUACCUCAGAGACCCUGGGAUGCUUGUUAAAUCUGAAGGUUCCCAGACUCAGAUCCACUGAAUCCCAAUGCGGGUGCAUCAGGAGUCAGCAUUCUGAACUAGCUCCCUGGCAAUUUUUACACACUCGAUGAUUUGAGGACUUUUGCACUGAUUUAGAUUCUCGUGUAUGAGACCCUCAAGUGACCUCUGCGCCCUUUCGCUUUUGUCUCUGAAUCAAGUCUGGGAUUACUUCACAGGGAACAUAGAGGAAAGUCACCAGUCAGGCAUUUGGAAGCAGCGAGGAGCCAACCUCAUUCUAGGUAGCCAUGUCUGGAUGUGAUGCCUGAAGCUUCUGCAGCCGUUUUACCAGCUUGAGGAUGAAGCACAUACAUGAAGGAAGACAGAACAAGAGAGCUAUGGAGAGGCAGCACUGGGGAUAUAUGAUAUGAGGAUCCUGCCUUAUUCCUGGACCUCAU